rnacentral:rRNA from 1 species
AACGCGAAGAACCUUACCUGGGCUCGAACGGCUUCGGACCGUCGUGGAAACACGAUUUUCUCGCAAGAGACCGGAGUCGAGGUGCUGCAUGGCUGUCGUCAGCUCGUGUCGUGAGAUGUUGGGUUAAGUCCCGCAACGAGCGCAACCCUUGUCCUGUGUUGCCAUCAUUAAGUUGGGCACUCCCGGGAGACCGCCAGCGAUAAGUUGGAGGAAGGUGGGGAUGAUGUCAAGUCAUCAUGGCCUUUAUGUCCAGGGCUACACACGUGCUACAAUGGACGGUACAAACCGCUGCAAACCCGCGAGGGGGAGCUAAUCGGAAAAAACCGUUCUCAGUUCGGAUUGCAGGCUGCAACUCGCCUGCAUGAAGCUGGAAUCGCUAGUAAUGCCGUAUCAGAACGACGGCGUGAAUACGUUCCCGGGCCUUGUACACACCGCAUAC